UAACUGAUAACUUAUUAGUGUAAUAAGUUUAGCGUCCGUUUUUAUACGUUUUAAAUGGUAUGUAGGUUUUAUUUUAUUAUACGCAUAUUGUUAAUUGGCUUGAGUAUCAGUUUACGCCUUUGAAUUAUUUGCUAAAUUGAGAGAAGAAAGAAAAGAGUUCUCAGAGAGUUUGAGAGAAAAUUGUCAGAGCUUGAGGAAGGUUAGUGAGAGAAUUUGUCUGCUGUUAACAACGAUUUCUUAAGCAACAAGAAGGUAUUUUCCCAUAAUCUUAUAUGUUUUACAUCGUGAUGCUAAAGUCUGUGUUCUUCCAUUUCACUGUAAAUAUAAAGUUUUUACAAAAUUCUGUAGUAGUUGUUAUAUAACUGAACUAUGGUGUUUUAUGGGUGUAUGAUGUUGGAAGUAGUGUUUAAACAUGAAAGGUUAUGUUAAUUUCGUUUAAAAGGAUGGAAACUAUUUUUCAGUAUAUGUUCCGGUACAUGGCUAUCAACAAUAAAAAUAUUCAUUAAUUUGGUUGUUAAGAAGAUCAAAAUCAGUAAAUUAUUGGUAACUAAUUGGGAAAUUAAAACUGUGAACAUGUUAAUUCUGUUGUUAAGAAGUUCAGAGAAUCGUAGUUAAAGUAAACCAAUUGGUGGUUAUUAGAAU
rnacentral:lncRNA from 1 species